ensembl:lncRNA
GGAAGAGGAGGCGCGGCGGAGAGCGCGAAGUCACGGAGCCCCGGUGACGCCAUCCCUGUCUGAAAGCGUCGCGCCCGGCGCAACGAGGGGCAACGCGGCUCUGUCAGCCGCGCCCCAGGAGGAGGGAAACGCGAGGGAUGCUCGGAACUCAGCACCUCGUCCGGCCCCGUGGCUUGUUUUUGUUAAGCUCUGACCUCUUUCCCGAAAAAGCGAUGAGCUAUGCUCAUGCACACCUCCUUGGCAACUUCCUGGAACUGACAACAGCAUUGUAUGCAUCUCUUCAUCCAGUCAUGCCAGUAGAAAACAGUGACAGGAAGGAUAAGAAAAAUGAUGAUCUAUGAAUUCCCUACAGGCAUGGAAGAAAAAAAUUUAAGUCAGGAGCAGCAGUAGCAAGUGGAUCCGACAGGGAACAUGGCAAGACGAGAAGAGAGCCCAAGUCAGAUGACCUGCGCCCUUAUAUCUGUUCCCUUGAGCAGGAAUGAGAACAGUACUCAAAAAGGCUCUUGUGGACCGUAGUUGUUCUUCUCUUCCAGACAGGUACCCGAACUAACUCCCCGUACACUGCAUGAUGUUGUGAUGUGGAAUACUGAUAACCAAAAAUCAUAAAACCAUGACACAAAUACAUUUCCUUUUUGCAUCUCAACACCUACUGCUAUCAGUUAUCAAAUUGAUCCUUGCAUGUAAGUAACAAAUACUUCUUAAGAUUCCUACAUGGGGAGAGUGAAUUUCUGGUACUCAUUGCUUAUUUGGAUACCUACCUCUAGGUAACCCAUUCCAUUUUUGGAAAUAAAAAAGAAACAGCAUAUUACAUUUGUCCAAGAAACAGCAUGUUAAAUUUGUCCAAGCUAAAUCUCAGUCAACUGAAGUCUCAGUUACAAAACUGGGAAGAAGGUUACUUAAAAACAGUUAGAAUAAUAAAAUUCAUUUCUGCUACCAAUCUAAUUUCCUAGCUAUCACUUAAAAUUUAAGGCAUGCUUUAGCUGUGGAAACAAAAUAAACAAUUCAGUACAGUUUCCUUUUCUUUAUUUCCCAACUAAUAAUCAGAAUCACCUCCAAAAUCAUAGAAGUGGAAAUGUUCAAUUAACUCAGAGUUAGAAUGAUGACAAUGCUUCAGAUGUAUAUUUCAGAGAGGAAAAUUAAGGUUCAUGAGGAAUAAGCACAAAGUCAGUGUGAAGUUUUCACAGAGACCAUAUACAAAAUACUUACACAUGUCUGAAGUUUGGCAUUCAGUUUUUAUUUUCUAAAUAGCUUCCUUCCUGUUUUAGCAUUGUCUUCCCAUCUUCCAGAAGAAAUAUCAAAUAGUUUACAUUUGAUAUUACAGUUGUCCUUUUCUUGGCUAUUUGUUUCUAUUCUCUUACUGAAGCAGAGAUACCCCACUCUCUAAUUUGCAUGCUUGUGUGUUUUCUCAUCUAACUUUUGGAUAUUAUAGCAGUUUUGUGGCUUUAGAUGAGUUCGUUCUUUUCUACCAGCUGCAAUGAUUCAGAGUUUAGUUUCAGGGGUUCUAUCAAUUGAAUUAGAUGAAUCUAAAGUCCAUUUAUUGCAAAGUCUUUUGUAGUUUUCAAUCUUUCUACUACAAGUUGGGAACUGGUAUGUUUUCCAGUCUACAAAUAAACUUGCAAGUUGCAACAACUUCGUAUGUUGUGAUAAUCCAGACAUGCUUUAUUUCUUACUAUCUCUUUGAUAGUAAGAGCAUAAUGCUCCAUCAGAUUUUUUUUCCAACUGCCUAUUUCUUACAUACUCCCGACAGGUGAAGAACUUUUAGAUUUUAUUCUCAUCAUCUUACUUCUCUAAAUCAUCUAGAUCUUCCUAUUGAAUUUCCCUUAAUGUCUCCGGACCCUGUAAAACACUCCACUUGAAAUUAAAUGGAAAGACAACUCUGCUGCUAAAGAAAUUCUUCAGGAAGUAAUUUUUCUUUUAAUGUCUAAAAGAUCACAAAAAAAACCAUAGUUAAUACAAUUUCUUCAAGUAUUU